AGUACUUGGUUUUGCUUCCAUUAUUUCAUAUGAAGUGUGACUUUUCUGUUCAGACUUACCUGUGCUACCAAAAGAGUGAAGCUACAUUCCCACAUUUCUCUUGGGUUGACCCUCUUCCUACAAAACUGGGACAAGCAACCUCCUGGACGCACUGAUGCCUCCCUAGUAGUGAGCCCUUUGUGAGAGGAAGACCUCAAAAAGCUUUCCAGAGGCUCGACAGAGCCAGAUCCUCCCAUUUUUCCCAUAAGAUGCAAACAGAAGACUCCUGGACGCUGCUUCCAGAAUAAAUUUUUCUGGGAAAAAGGAAUAGUCGUAGCCAGUACAACCCUGCCAUUCCCCCUUGGUGCUGCCUUGAAUGUGCUUCUCACAGUUCCCACCUGGAAAAUUAUCUAACUGCCCAGAGCUGUCUUUCUUUGGAAGCAGAAGACUUCCAUUCCCUGCUUCUUCGUGCCCAGGGAGCUGGGUGCUCUUGUGGCACAAUGAGAUGUGUGUCCUCACAACAAGGCUUGGGAUGCACAUGCAAUGUCUGGACCUGCAGCCGCCAUCUUAAGGUCACAAGCAAAAGGCCAUUAACACUGAGGAUGGCAAAGAAGGAUGGAAAAAACAUGGAAGGAUCAUCAAGUGACUGAACAGUCUCCGACACCACUUAGCUCCAGACUUCUUAAAUACUUUUCCUUCGGUUUUGCCUGCAUUCACUAGAGAGCCCUCCAGCCUCUCCUCCUGCACAACAGCCAUUCAUGGCCUUUUUUUUUACUGCCUGACAUCGAAGGUUAAUCCAGCAACAUAAAGGAAACCCUGACUUCAGAUCUUUAAAGCAUCCUGCUUAAGAAGGUUCUAGAAUUGGACUCGUAUCACUGGCAUUUCCCCAGGGACCUGGCUAUGGAAACCUCCCUCUUCCUCGUUCUUCCGCUAUUUUGGGCCUACCUCCUAACUGGGGCCAGACUGGGGUUUACUGUGCAAGCCUGCCGGCCCCAGAGGCCCGGGGAGUUCACCAAAGGGCCAGCCCCAGGAAAGGAGAUGGACCCCGGGCAGGAGCAGCAGCCUCUGCAUCGGGAGACUUUCCUGCGUGACUCACUGUCUCCGUGAUGCCUGUUCCUGGGCUUGGUGCCAGGGACACCACUGUCCCCUGUGCACCAGCUGCUUUGUCCCAACGGGGAUCUAAAGGGCUCCCCUGCCUUUCCUCCGCAUUUCCCUGUGAGGCUCUGGAUGAUUCCAAAUCAGUCCUUUGGCAUCCAAAUCAGUGUAACUCGAGGGCCACACCUUCUCCAUCCACUGGGAGUUCAUCUGCCACCGAGCAGCACAUACAAGGUUGCUGCUGAUGAAAACUGGAGGAAAGAAUGGAGUGCAUGCGUGUCCAACGCAGAGACAAGCUGAGAGAGGCAAACGGACAGAAACGGAAACAGAGACAGAGAACAGAGAGGGGCAAAGAGUUACAGAAGAAUUCCUAAACAGAGAUAUUAUUUUCUUUUGAGUAGUUCUAUUUUGACUAAGAGUUUCACUAUUUGUAACCGGUAAAUCUUCCUGCUGUGUAACCCUGGUCAAGUGUCCCCUUAACAACUCCUCUGGAGGCGACCUGGGGGAGGAGCUAUGACCCGAGAGCACUGCCUUUGGGAGCAUUUGUCUUUGGCCAGAUAUCCCUGGACAUUCAGAAUGUGGGGACCCAGUCAGGUGCAAAGGAGACACCCCAGAUUCCCAACAAGGACCUCCUAGAGGCCACAGAUGGCAGCGAGUCCCCCCUUGGAGCACUCCUGGGCUCUCCUUCUUACCAAGCUGUGAGAGGAGCUUCUGGGGAGCUCCCCGAGAUCCGAGGACCCUCACACCCAGCCAGAGUGGCCUCCGAGGCAGCCGGUGGUCCGCACCAGCCCCACAAAGCAAACAAGUCGAGGGAGUGGAAGCAGCACUAGCUUGGGAGCAGCUUUUGUCCACCCAACUCCUCAAGGCCUCUGGGCUCAGGUUGCUCACGUGUGAGAUGCCAGGGGGAAAGGAGUCAUACAGUCCACAUUCAUGCUCCGAGCGCUCACGGAGGGUCAAGGAUGUGUGGGGUUGCAGAAACAAAAAGCCAGACGGCCCACGUGGACUCAGGAGACAUCACCGAGCCUAUAGGCCCGGGUCUCUGAGGGCCCUUCCGCCACACGUUCUCUCAAUAGUUUCACAGUGGCAAGAGGGCAUCCCUAAUCUCCUGACCUAAUGAAUUCAGCCCCUCCUAAGCAAGAGGAAUCACGUUUUGUUUGUUUGCCUACAAAAGUUUGGGUUCCCAAACUUAACUACUUGCCACUUGCAGUGUGGGUGUCUGAAAUGUUAAUUGGGCCUCACCACAGUCCCUAGGGAGGUAGGUGCUGUGCCAUCUGCCGCAGUCAGACACACGCUUCAGGCUCCUGUCUGCUCGGGGCACCAUAUGCACUACGUCAAAGAGGCACAGCCCAGCUGUCCAGAAGCUUCUAGAAACCCUGGAGCUCACCCACAGAAAGGACAAAGAAACAACUGAGCAAACUGGGAUAAAAUGGUGUUGUCAGACCAACAAAGGGAAUGCAAACGAAGAGCUGGUGAAGAACCAGAGAUGGUGGGGAGGGGGGUGGUGAGAGAAGGAGAGAGAUGAGUCUGCCCAGGCUGGACAAUGGGGUUGGGGUGUGGGGUCACUCCCUCUGUCUCCUUGGUCCGGGCUUGCCAGGAUCUUUUGAAUGGUGGACAAAAGAGGAUAGAGAGCAAUGGGGUGGGGACCCAGGAUGAGGCCCCACGGGGACUGCCCAUCCCAAAGGGGUGGGGACAUGGGUGCAAAGUCACGAAGGCGGGUAA